rnacentral:rRNA from 1 species
CGCGGCCUAUCAGCUUGUUGGUGGGGUAAUGGCCUACCAAGGCGACGACGGGUAGCCGGCCUGAGAGGGCGACCGGCCACACUGGGACUGAGACACGGCCCAGACUCCUACGGGAGGCAGCAGUGGGGAAUAUUGCACAAUGGGCGAAAGCCUGAUGCAGCGACGCCGCGUGAGGGACGAAGGCCUUCGGGUUGUAAACCUCUUUCAGCAGGGAAGAAGCGAAAGUGACGGUACCUGCAGAAGAAGCACCGGCUAACUACGUGCCAGCAGCCGCGGUAAUACGUAGGGUGCAAGCGUUGUCCGGAAUUAUUGGGCGUAAAGAGCUCGUAGGCGGUUUGUCGCGUCUGCCGUGAAAACUCAGGGCUUAACCCUGAGCCUGCGGUGGGUACGGGCAGACUAGAGUGUGGUAGGGGAGAUCGGAAUUCCUGGUGUAGCGGUGGAAUGCGCAGAUAUCAGGAGGAACACCGGUGGCGAAGGCGGAUCUCUGGGCCAUAACUGACGCUGAGGAGCGAAAGCAUGGGGAGCGAACAGGAUUAGAUACCCUGGUAGUCCAUGCCGUAAACGUUGGGCGCUAGGUGUGGGGCUCAUUCCACGAGUUCCGUGCCGCAGCUAACGCAUUAAGCGCCCCGCCUGGGGA